rnacentral:rRNA from 1 species
UACGAGGGGGGCUAGCGUUGUUCGGAUUUACUGGGCGUAAAGCGCACGUAGGCGGAUCGUUAAGUCGAGGGUGAAAUCCUGGAGCUCAACUCCAGAACUGCCUUCGAUACUGGCGAUCUAGAGUCCGGAAGAGGUGAGUGGAACUCCUAGUGUAGAGGUGGAAUUCGUAGAUAUUAGGAGGAACACCAGUGGCGAAGGCGGCUCACUGGACCGGUACUGACGCUGAGGCGCGAAAGCGUGGGGAGCAAACAGG